UCAGCUGAGAAUCUCGUUAAACUGCAGAUUCUGAUUCUGGGCGGCGCUGAGAUACCGCAUUUCUAACAAGUUCCCAGGUGAUG
rnacentral:pre_miRNA from 1 species